rnacentral:rRNA from 1 species
CCUACGGGUGGCAGCAGUCGAGAAUCAUUCACAAUGGGGGAAACCCUGAUGGUGCGACGCCGCGUGGGGGAAUGAAGGUCUUCGGAUUGUAAACCCCUGUCAUGUGGAAGCAAAUUAAAAAGAUAGUAACACAAGAGUAAGAGACGGCUAACUCUGUGCCAGCAGCCGCGGUAAUACGGAGGUCUCAAGCGUUGUUCGGAAUCACUGGGCGUAAAGCGUUCGUAGGCUGUUUCGUAAGUCGUGUGUGAAAGGCGCAGGCUCAACCCGAGGACGGCACAUGAUACUGCGAGACUAGAGUAAUGAAGAGGGGACCGGAAGUCUCGGUGUAGCAGUGAAAUGCGUAGAUACCGGGAGGAACACUAGUGGCGAAGGCGGGUUCCUGGACAUUAACUGACGCUGAGGCACGAAGGCCAGGGGAGCGAAAGGGAUUAGAUACCCGUGUAGUC